GGGUGCUUAGCUCAGUUGGUAGAGCAUCUCCCUUACAAGGAGGGGGUCGGGAGUUCAAGUCUCUCAGCACCCACCA
rnacentral:tRNA from 1 species